AACAGGGGGAAAGAAGAAUAUAGUCUCUGCUCCACUGGGCACUCCAUCAUGGACAAUCUUUAGCAACUUCUGAUUCCUUCUGCUCAAGAACUAUUGUUGGAGGGUGGGAG